CCUAUUUCUGCCAUCAAUUGUAGGUACAGGUACAGAUAAACCCCCAAGCUCAGGUGGGAGCUAGUUAUUACAUUAAGUGUCCAUAAAACCAGGUUGUGGCAACAUUUCUCUUAGUCAGGCUUAUUUGUAUGGUUUUCUCUGUGUGUUAAUCUCUAUGCAUGAGUAAUCCCCACACAAUGAAAUGAAAAUUGAAUGUCACGCUGUCUGUUUGGUCUGUACAUCUGUUACUCGUGCUCUGUUUUGCAGAAUGGUGCAUUAUUCUACAUAUUUUAUUGCAGAUUUCAGCAUCAUUGUCACAUUUCUGAGGGUAAGAGGAGAAGAGAAAGGAGCCAGUGGACAUCCCUCCCUGCAAGAGCAUGGAAGGCAUUUGUAAUUCAUACAGCCUUAGAAAUCCCAUGGCUGAUGCAUUGCUGCUUCAAAAUCUACAUUCACAAAAUGCAAGUUUGGAGAAAUGCCAGUUCCACCAUCAUGUUACAACCUGGACUUUGCCAGAGCUGGGAAUGGCAGAUUUGGUGUCAUCACCAGUGCUUCAGCACAUCUGCAGCUGGGAAGAAAUGUUUGGAUGUAUUUGUGUCAGAAGAGAAAAGCAUAAAUUACUGAUAUGGAGUCUCUGAGGCACAUCCAAGUACAUCAUCACAUGAAGCAGCCUCUCUCCUCUCAAAUGAAAAAAACCCAAACCAAAAUCCCCAAAGCAACCAUAUUUGAAAGAACCAGGGAUUAUUCAAGUGCUGUAAGUGUAAUGCACAGUGACCAAAUGCCCCAGUAAUGGAAUCUGCUGGAAAGGAAAUGAACCAUUGGUGCAUCCCAAGUUUCCUAUGACAGAUUGGGGCUGUUAAGAUUGUACUUUCUCCCAUGUAUACACUGAGAAUGAAGAGGUCAUGAUAGCAAACUAAGAGUGGGACUGUUAGUCUGGAGUCUAGAUUAGAACAUGCCCCUUAAUGCAAACAGUUUCUGAUUAGAAAUAGGAUAUCCAUUAAUCCAAGUGCAAGAACUGUGACUGACUUGACAAUGAGAUUAAUGCCUCUGUAAAGUCAUAUAUAUAUAAGUCAGUAUUUAAAGGAUUCAUGGAAUAAACACUUCCCAUUGUAAAUGCGAGAAUGAAUUUGAUGAACUACCAAACACCCUUGUUAAGACAGAAAAAAAAUUACUUUCAGAUAACUUGUUUGGAAAAUGUUUGCUAUGGAUAAAUCUGUUGGUAAAAACAUAGCUGACAUUUCAGAGCUCAAACCAAGCAAACAAAAAGCAACACAGAGGCAAUAGAUUUUGAGCAGAGCAUCAUGGCAAAGAGCUGACUUCUCUAGUAACACCCUGUGAAUCACUGUGAGGAAAAGGACAGGCAGAAGAGAACAGGAGGCCAGCUGAAACCAUCCCAGGAAAUUGCUGUGCAGUACAAACUGAAUCAAAUCAAAAGCAUGAGUGGAUAUGUGCAGACCUUCCAGAAGUGUAUUAGCACUCCAGAAGGGAAGUGGUAGAUUUCACAUGGCUUUUUGAUAUCUGCCAGGAGAUACUGAUAAAGGCACUGCAAGAAGCAAAGGAAAUUCCUCUCCUGCAAGACACACGGUCUGAGAACAGAGACCUUUGUUGUGUGGCCUUGUUUACAAUCCAGAAUUCCUCAAAUUAUCACUUGAGAGUGGAGAAGAUUCUAGGAGAAGCUGCAUGGCAAAGAUCACUGUCACAUGGAACGUCACCAGAAACCACUGAGAGGAAACUGAGCUUCUGAAAUCAGCACAGGAGACACACACACACCCAGACGUGCUGCUUCACACAUCCUCCAGGACGAGGGACCAAAUCAAGCCUCACUAAAGGCACAGAAGCCUUGGAUUCAGCAAGGAAUUCAAUUCAGUAUUGGAAUAUUGGGAAACUGCUCCUGCUUCCUUCUUUUUCUUUCUGAAAUACAGUCUUGGGCAAGACUGACAACAACAAUAAUAACAACAACAAUAAUAACAACAACAAUAAUAUAAGUAUCCUUAUGAGUGGCUUUUGGGAUGAGACACAGCUUGUUGGUGUUUCUGCAGUCAGCAGAGCCUCGGGAGCCCUGCUACUGACAGACUUCUUGCAGGUUUGGAUAUCAGGGCAGCUCCCACUAGGAAUUUUGGCAUUCCCACAUGCAGUGCUGGUGCCUCUGGGCACUGCAGGACUCUUGCCUGUGCCAAAUGUGGGUGCAGGGAGAGCCAGAAGAGGGACAGGGAUUAACUCCAGACACCUUUUGCCCCACAGCAGUCACCAGUGAGCCUGGAAUGGGUGCUUGGAAAUGAGAGACAGCUGUAUAGUGUGUGCACUGUUUAUUUUCAGUUCAGGUUUGGAGGAGAAGGAAAACAACAAUAUUGCUGGAAUUAUGCAUCAUGUAUCAUACUAGUGUCUUGCAGCGUACAUUAUGGGCAUUCAUCAAGAAAUAUUCCAUUUGUUUGUGGUGCAUUUAAGCAAUGAAUAUUGGUACUUGUAUUGCAACUUUAUCUUCUGACUGUAACUGUGUGAAGCUCAAGCAUUUUUGCACCAAGUGCAUUUGUCACUGAUGGGAGGAGGUUGCCAUAAAUACAUUAAUUACUAACUGAUAGACUGCUACAAAGAGAAGGUGGUUAUAUCUAAAACAAGCCUAAAAACAUAGAUGUUUCCAAAAAGCAUGUCUAGAAUCUGCUGGUUCAGUGAUACCAAGAGCUAAUAUUUCCCAACUUGUCUCACUUGGCUGUGUGACCUUUUAAUAGUGAAAGAAGCAGUGUGCUCUGGCUUUGCUGCAGUUGUAUUGUCAUCUCAACAGAAUUCCAUGUCAUCAAAACAUGAAACAGGUAAAAAAAGUCAAUACCUGAAAAUAAAAUCAGCAGGAUGUUCAGUUCUAGAAUAAGUGUAGUUGAAAGAUUUUCUUACCCAGUAGCUGAAUAAAGUAUUGGAAAAUUCUAAAAAUAUGAAGAAGUUCAAUUACUUGCACAAUCAGAAUAUCUGAAAAAUACUUUCUGAAGCUUUUGAGCUAGAGGAAGAGAGUGAGUAAUCAUUUGUUUGUCUAAUAAUUUAAAUGCAGGCAGGUACCAGAGAAGGUUCUAGGCAAAUAAAUCACAGAUGUGAAAUAUUGACUUCCCACAUAUUUUUCAGUUUCAUUCUUUUUCAAAAGUGCUUGGCAUGAAUUCAUAUCAAAAUAAAUUUCUUUAUUUUUACUGUCAUUAUAUCCCUCAGCACAUUAGGAAUGCAAAAAUUAAGCAUUUGGAUAAAUGCAUGUUAGAGCAGGUAAUUAAUUUAGUAAGUACAUACACAGGUCUUGUUUACAAGAAAACUGUCUGACAGUGUAAAAUUAUAUAUGAUUGCAAAGCAACCUGUUUUAAUGGCUUUAAUGCAAUAAUAACCAACUUCUCCAAAUGAAAAUAGCAAAAGUAUGAAGGGCCAAAAAAAAUACUUAAAUUGAGUAUAUAAAUCAGUGAAUAGCCAACCACUUAACUGAUUAUUGAAGUGACUGUGGAUUCAAAAUUAGAAUUCUUGGGUACUACAAUUUCCAAUCCAUAAAAAACUAUGAGAAAGGGUUUUUUUUUUUUCCUCAUACAGAACAUGAAGAGGGAAUAUUCCCCACAGCAUAGCUUUUAAAAGCUGUUGAAAUGUAAAGACAGGAUACAGACACACACAGAGUGCUGAAAAUAUGCAGGUACAUUUUGCCUGACUCUCAGCUGCCCAGUUACUGUUCAAGAGAGAAAAAAAUAUGUAUUUAAGUGGCAACAAAAUAUAAAGGAGAAGCAAAUCCUUCUGGUUUGGAACUUGAAAAAAAAAAUAAAAUCUUUAUGUCAUAGAUCAGCAUGCAUUUGCUGUCUGUGUACAGAGCAGUUUUCCAGUCAUAGGAAUAACUGGAAGUAUGAGAAAGGAAGAGAGCAGAAAUUAAUAUCUUGAUUUUUCUUUUUUUUUUUCCAAUCAACAAGAUAUUUCCUCCUUACAAUAUAUCCCAUCCACCACGCAGCUUACAGAACAAGUGCUGAUGAUUAGAGUGCUUCAUAAGACAGUCUGAACAUGGGGUUUUGGGAAAAACUAUAAAAGUUGCCAUUUCCAACUGGGAGCCAGCUCAUUAGAAGGCAUGAGAUCAGCUCAAAUUAUGCCAAGAGGGAGAAAGAAGAAGGCAAAAAGAUGCCAAGAAAAUUGGCAAACCAACUAAGCUAGGAAAAAGAAAAAAGACAAAAUAAAGGGGGAAGAACGUCCCAGAAGGAUGAAGAGAAAGAAGAAAAUACUUUUUACUACAGCACAAAUGAUUUUUAUCAAUAUGUCACUGGCAUAGCUCUGACUGGAGGAACUGACUGUGGUCCUCCAAGGAAUGCAAACACACACGUUCAGCAUCUGCAGCAGGAAUCUUUCUUGG